UACAGAGGUGCCGAGCGUUAGGCGGAAUCACUGGGCUUAAAGCGUGUGUAGGCGGAUCGUUAAGUACCUUGUGAAAUCCCACGGCUCAACCGUGGAACUGCUGGGUAUACUGGCGGUCUUGAGCCACCUAGGGGCGAGCGGAACAAGCGGUGGAGCGGUGAAAUGCGUAGAUAUCGCUUGGAACGCCAACGGUGAAAACAGCUCGCUGGGGGUGUGCUGACGCUGAGACACGAAAGCCAGGGGAGCGAACGGG
rnacentral:rRNA from 1 species